AACGAACGCUGGCGGCAUGCCUAACACAUGCAAGUCGAACGAGACCUUCGGGUCUAGUGGCGCACGGGUGCGUAACGCGUGGGAACCUGCCCUUAGGUUCGGAAUAACUCCCCGAAAGGGGUGCUAAUACCGGAUAAUGUCUUCGGACCAAAGAUUUAUCGCCCUUGGAUGGGCCCGCGUUGGAUUAGCUAGUUGGUAGGGUAAAAGCCUACCAAGGCGACGAUCCAUAGCUGGUCUGAGAGGAUGAUCAGCCACACUGGGACUGAGACACGGCCCAGACUCCUACGGGAGGCAGCAGUGGGGAAUAUUGGACAAUGGGCGAAAGCCUGAUCCAGCAAUGCCGCGUGAGUGAUGAAGGCCUUAGGGUUGUAAAGCUCUUUUACCCGGGAUGAUAAUGACAGUACCGGGAGAAUAAGCACCGGCUAACUCCGUG
rnacentral:rRNA from 1 species